AGGGGGUGUGGUGACACGGUGUCUGUCGGUCCGGAAGGGUCUUGACACUAGCUGCGGGGCUCUGGGCUGGCUGAUCACUGGGUGCAGCAGACCGUGCGCCUACAGCGCCCUGGAGCGUCGGAAAGGCGGACAGGAACCUAGCACAUCUUGUGGAAUUGGGAGAGGAAAGACUGAAGGAGCCAGAGAGGUCAAGGACACCACAAGAAAACCUACAGAAUCAACAAACCUGGGCCCAUAGGGGCCCACAGAGACUGAACCAUCAUGGAAGCUUGCAUGGGAUGGACCUAGGCCCUCUGCACAAGACUCUGAUACCAGCUGAUAUGAGGUCUCCAACACAUGCAGCAGAGGACUGCAGAGUCUGGACUCAGUCAGUGAAAAUACAUCUAACACUCAAGAGACUGGAGGCCCCAGGGAGUGGGAAGUUCCAGGUUUCUGAUAGCUAGUGCCAGUAACAGAAGCAGCACCAUUGCUUUGCCAUAUCGAAAGCUGGCUGUGUGCUGACAGCACUGUGUGGUUCCGGAUGAGCUCUGCCUGUUUCCCUGCCUGGUGACUCAGUGAGUUGGUUUCUCUGUAACGGGAGCAUAUGCCCCAUGCAUGCUGUGUUAGCAGAUUAUUAAUAACCACACAGAAGUACUGAAGCAUCUCAUCUCUCUGUAAGCAUAUCACUUUCAAAUCCAGAUUCUCUCCUAAUCUGUUCAUGGACUCUUCUCGACAAAAUCACUUUUCAUAUAGAAACGAUGCAUGUCUCUAAUGUUCUAGUACAUUGUCUCUGAACCUCACUUUCUUUGUCUUCAUCAAGUGUUCGUCAAGCAGCGUGGCAUUACUUGAUCUCAGGAGUACUUUUCCUCAAUAAUGUUAAAUGUGGAGAAUCCUAUCCAGUCUGUCUCUACAACAGAGGAUUUCAACCUGUGUGGCGAGAAGCCACAGGGGUCAAAUGACCAUUUCACAAGGGUAGCUUAUAAGCUAUCCUGCACAUCUGUUGUUUACAUUAUGAUUCAUAACAGUAGUGAAGUUACAGUUAUGAAGUAGCAAUGAAAUAAUUUUAUGGGUGGGAGUCACCACAAGAUGAGGAAUACAAGGUCAACGCAUUAGGAACGGUGAGAACCACUGCUCUGUAAUCUUGAAGAUGAUGAAGGAAGUUUGUUAUUUUCUAUUUCAAGAGGCAAAUGCUACUUUAAUUUUUUUUUAUUACUUUAUAGCCUCAGGAUGAGUACAUGAUGACAAAGAUAACAGAGCUAACACCAGCAGCCAGAAAGAAUAAAUAAGUCAAUCAAAUCAACAAAUAUCUAGAAAAUUGCUAGAUUCCUGCUGAAGUUAUGUUUUAUUAGUAUUGAGAAGGAAUGAUGGCUUGAACGUAGUCUUUAGACUAGAAAGUGACAUUUACAGUACUUGCCAUAGUGAGGUCCUCUUUUGAAGCCAUUGUAAAAGCUGAAUAAGCAGCCAUGUGUGAGGAACAAAGAUGGCGUUGUGUCAAGACAGACUUGUUCUCGUGUCUCAGCAGGCUUCUGGAAGCUUCUCCUGCUGGCUGAGAGAGAUACUUCUCAGAUGCAUGAAAACUUUGCAAGAAGGAAAGCCACGUACAUUUCACAUUCUCCAUGGGGCUACAAGGGAAAAGAUUUAGGUUCAAUUUACUGGAGGAAAUUCCAUUCAGACAUGAAGCACAUAUUCAACUCCGGGAGCAAGAAGCAAGAUGGCUCCACCCUACAAGUCCCCUUCUAUUUACUAUGUUGCUAUGAACUCAUGCCAACAACACGUCUUGACCUCAAAUUUCACAGAAUGUAUUUUUUUCUUUUCAAACUUUAUAUACAUAGGAGUAUAUAAUCAUGUACUGCAUCUGUUUUUUUCUUUUCCCAUAUUUGUAUGAAACUCAUUUGUUACAUAUGCUAGCAGUUAAUUCCCUCUUAUUGCAUCUCAUUUCAAGUCUGUGAAGGUACUGCAAUUAUGUGUAAUCUAUUCUGUCACCGAUGGGCAUUUGCAUGAUUUCCAGUUUAUAGAAAUUAUCAAGAACUUUCCAAUAAAAAACUUUUAUGC
ensembl:processed_transcript Gm14066 predicted gene 14066